rnacentral:rRNA from 1 species
CAGGCCUAACACAUGCAAGUCGAGCGGAGCGAGGGUGCUUGCACCUUAGCUUAGCGGCGGACGGGUGAGUAAUGCUUAGGAAUCUGCCUAUUAGUGGGGGACAACGUUUCGAAAGGAACGCUAAUACCGCAUACGUCCUACGGGAGAAAGCAGGGGAUCUUCGGACCUUGCGCUAAUAGAUGAGCCUAAGUCGGAUUAGCUAGUUGGUGGGGUAAAGGCCUACCAAGGCGACGAUCUGUAGCGGGUCUGAGAGGAUGAUCCGCCACACUGGGACUGAGACACGGCCCAGACUCCUACGGGAGGCAGCAGUGGGGAAUAUUGGACAAUGGGGGGAACCCUGAUCCAGCCAUGCCGCGUGUGUGAAGAAGGCCUUUUGGUUGUAAAGCACUUAAGCGAGGAGGAGGCUUACCUAGUUAAUACCUGGGAUAAGUGGACGUACUGCAGAA